rnacentral:rRNA from 1 species
UACGUAGGGGGCAAGCGUUGUCCGGAAUUAUUGGGCGUAAAGAGCGCGUAGGCGGUCCGAUAAGUCGGCUGUGAAAGUCAAGGGCUCAACCCUUGGAAGCCGGCCGAUACUGUCGGACUAGAGUCCGGAAGAGGCGAGUGGAAUUCCCGGUGUAGCGGUGAAAUGCGCAGAUAUCGGGAGGAACACCAAUUGCGAAGGCAGCUCGCUGGACGGUACUGACGCUGAGACGCGAAAGCGUGGGGAGCGAACAGG